GAAGCCGGAAUUGCUAGUAAUGGCAGGUCAGCAUACUGCCGUGAAUACGUUCCCGGGCCUUGUACACACCGCCCGUCACACCAUGAGAGUUGGGAAUACCCGAAGCCUGUGACCAAACCAAUAAGGAAGGAGCCGUCGAAGGCAGGUCUGAUAACUGGGGUGAAGUCGUAACAAGGUACC
rnacentral:rRNA from 1 species